rnacentral:rRNA from 1 species
AUUGAACGCUGGCGGCAGGCCUAACACAUGCAAGUCGAACGAGCGGCGGACGGGUGAGUAAUGUAUGGGAAACUGCCUGAUGGAGGGGGAUAACUACUGGAAACGGUAGCUAAUACCGCAUACCAUCAGAUGAACCCAGAUGGGAUUAGCUCGUAGGUGGGGUAACGGCUCACCUAGGCGACGAUCCCUAGCUGGUCUGAGAGGAUGAUCAGCCACCCUGGAACGUAGACACGGCCCAGACGCCUACGGUAGGCAGCAGUGGGGAAUAUUGCACAAUGGGCGCAAGCCUGAUGCAGCCAUGCCGCGUGUAUGAAGAAGGCCUUCGGGUUGUAAAGGACUUGCAGCCAGGAGGCGUUACUGACAGAAGAAGCACCGGCUAACUCCGUGCCAGCAGCCGCGGUAAUAC